rnacentral:rRNA from 1 species
CAGCCGCCACGGUAAUACGUAGGUCUCGAGCGUUGUCCGGAUUUAUUGGGCGUAAAGCGAGCGCAGGCGGUUAGAUAAGUCUGAAGUUAAAGGCUGUGGCUUAACCAUAGUACGCUUUGGAAACUGUUUAACUUGAGUGCAGAAGGGGAGAGUGGAAUUCCAUGUGUAGCGGUGAAAUGCGUAGAUAUAUGGAGGAACACCGGUGGCGAGAGCGGCUCUCUGGCUUGCAACUGACGCUGAGGCUCGAAAGCGUGGGGAGCAAACAGGAUUAGAUACCCCAGUAGUCCCUGUCUCUUAUACA